rnacentral:misc_RNA from 1 species
UCACUACUUGCGUAGGCAGUCUGGCUAGAGUCCCCACCAUCACGUGCUGGUAACUAACCACAGGGGUUGCGCUCGUUGCGCCACUUAAGGCAACACCUCACGACACGAGCUGACGACAGCCAUGCAGCACCUGUGCGGGCCCCCGAAGGGGCACCGUGUUUCCACGGCGUCACCCCGCAUGUCAAGCCCUGGUAAGGUUCUUCGCGUUGCGUCGAAUUGAGCCACAUGCUCCGCCGCUUGUGCGGGUCCCCGUCAAUUCCUUUGAGUUUUAGCCUUGCGGCCGUACUCCCCAGGCGGUCAACUUAGUGCGUUAGCUGCGCCACUAAGGAUUCAAGAUCCCCCACAUCAAGUGCUCAUCGUUUACAGCCAGGACUAC